GACAGGGUGGGGGCGUAACGCAGAUUCAGCACUAUUGGCUACUGCAACUGCGUUAACCUUUGUGUUUUAACAGGAAACACGUACAUAUCAGGAAGCAAAUAGUACUCCGGUUUCCGUUUCAUGGGAACUUUAAACUGAAAUCGACAUACAUCCAUCAGUUACAGAGCAACAUUAUCAUUCAUUUGGAGUCGUGUGUCUGGUCUCCUGGAAAAUUAUUUGCUGAGACGAUGUGUCUUUCCACCUGAAAGAAGUAGCAGGCCUGCAACGACCACAUGAUAUGUCUCUCCUAUCCAGUCUCCUCUCUUCAGUAUGCAAGGCCGGAGGUGAAACCUAGUGCAGGAAGAGAGCACCUUUAUAUGUAAUACCUGCAGCACUGUCAGCCAGGGACCCCGGCCAAUGGGAAGAAAACAUGUGCAAAGGACCAUCUGCAAUGGAAAAACAAAUCCUGUAAAAGAUUUUGUGGAUUUUGCGGCACGAGGGAAUGAUGUCCAGCUGCCCCAAGUCUUAGUGACAGAUGCUUUCUCCUUCUCGCUUGGAUAACGCGCACGUUCCUCUGUAUCCUCCAGUGGCCUUAAAUACUCCAAACCUGGGUGCUCCUUUAACAUCCACACAUGCAAUAUUUUGACUUUCAGUAGACAGUGAAUUAUACUUUUUUCUAUUAUUAAAUAAUAAUGUGUCUAAUUUAGCAAGCUAAGGCAUUGUUUACUCAUGAUGGGAUAUUCUGGCAAUUAUGGGAAUACCUCAUCUUCUCAUAUUAAUGUAUGUGAGUAUAAACUUGCAGCAGAUUAGGUAAAUGUAUAUCUCAGGAUUCCAAGCAAUCACUAACUCCACCUAAUGGCUUCUAUUUAUUAAGGAGAGUGAAAGAUUUUGUAAUAACAUGCUUAGGCCACGUUUCACAAAAAAAGUGGUAAGCAGUGAAGCAAGAUCUCAUUUACAGCUCUCAGCUGUCAUGUUCACUUGAACUGAAUGUCAUGGCCAAAAGCUUUUGCUCCGACUUACUGAAUACAUUACUUACCUUGUCUCUAAUCCGUCUAGUGCUGUAAUGAGCUUUGGAGGUAGACAUCUGUAACUGUUGUUUCUGUCCCAUUCACCUUUCCUUUCUAAGCUUCAUUAAGACAUGCAUUUGGUCUUUCUCUAACAAAAGAAUGGCAUAGAAAACACAGCAAUUAGUUCUUGGUCUCUAACUAAGGAAGCAAUGCUAAUGUUGCUGUUUGAUUUUUGUUUGCGCAUUAGGUUGAAUUUGGCAACAUCUUUGUUCAGCACUUUAAAGCUCCAGCAAUGAAUAUUUAUUAACAAUAGAUAAACUUAACAAGUGUAAAAUGAUAGGAGUGGCUCAUAGUGACAAACCCACCGAGAAUUAUCACCAGACUCUGCACUUCAGCUCCACACACACUUUUAGUCUAUUUUGGAUUAUUAUUUUGGUUUUCUAGUGUUGCACCAAUCUCCGUAACCUUCUUAGGAAUUUUAGCCACAUUGGCAGUGCACGUUUUUUUUUUAUCAGACUUUAUCACACACAUGCUACCUCAACACUAGUUAGAUAGCUUUGUUUGUGUGACCACUCAGAUUCUGUGAUACUAGAGUAUUAAAUUCAUGAAAAAGACCAAAAUGUUAAUCAGAUACUAACAGGUCUGGGGUUUCAUGCUUUACAGACAGACUUGGCCAAUCACCACUGUCACGUUGUUUGCAGCAGCAGCAGGUAGCCGUUUUCAGAGAAAAGGCUAAACCAACUGUACAUCACCUGCCCAGCACAAAGAACAACAAGUUAGCAGCUAAGCCAGUUAACAUAGUGGAGCAUUUAGCAGCUAAAAAGACAAAUAUUUCUUUCAGUAGUUGGUGGAGACCAAAAAGAGCUCAAAUGAGAGUGAGUAUUGGAGCUGCAUUUGUCAGUAGGACAGAAACAUGACUUUAAAUGAAUGCUAAUGUUGCCACAGGGCUGCUGAAUGUGUAAAUAGGCAACUGCUUGAAAAUUUGUAUUUUGUGCUUGUUCUGCUGACCCCAAGUGGCCGAAAAACAAGUAAAUGCAGCUAUAAGAAAGCCUACGUGUAAGACAACUCUCUACACAUUAUUGUUGAAGAAAAUUUUAAGUAUAAACUAUUUUUUUUCACACUAAGGUUCUAUGGUACUUUAUAUACAUAUAUUUUCUUGAAAGUACUCUAAUUUUUAAUUUGUAAAAAAAACAGCAGUACUGAGUGCUCAAGAUAGAAAUGUUGUAUUGUGUAAAUUGUUUCAAUGUAUUUUCAAAAAGGAUAACUUAAAUUAAUAUAUAGAAAUGCCAAACAUACAUGUCUUUCACGAUCCAAUUAGACCAUCUACAUUGGGCUUACUGGAUUUGCUGCUUCACCUUUAAUCCCCUCCCAUUGAUAAUCUCGAGAGAAGCCUGUGUUGGAUUCUCUCUACAGUCAGAUGAAGCAUAUGGCCCUAGCAUCUGUGGGCCAGUUUACGUCCAAGAAUUCCCUGCUUGGCUGCUACAGCAGCAGCUAUAUUAGGACUAAAGCCCACAACUUUCAUUGACAAAAUCUGAUUUAACCAUUGGCCGUAUGUUCUCAAUGGACUCCUGCCUUGGUUCAGGACUGCUCAGACUCAGCUUUCAUUGUUACUUUAAAGUAAAGCUACUUCAUGCCUAUAGAUUUGUUAUUUUCUGAUAUACAGAUGGGGGGACAAAUUAAAGGAAGCACCUAAAUAAAAGAGUGGACAAACAUGUUCACAUGCACCAGGGCUCACUGAAUGGUUUGGUGAGUUUGAAAAUUAUGUAAAUAAAAUGCUACGGCCUUCACAGUCACCAGAUCUCAAAUCAGUUUCUCAUCUAUGGAAGAUUUUGGACCAGCAUGUAAGACAGUGCUCUCCACCACCAACUCCAUUAGACCUGAUGAACAUUCUUCUUCAAAUCUGUUUAGUGAUGUCUGUGACAUUAUGCUAUAUAGUCUUUUGUUAUGUCUGGCUGUGUUUGUUUUUCUUUCUAUUUCAUGUCUCUCUUGCAAAAGAGAUCUUGAACGAGAUUACCUGAUUAAAUAAAGGUUGUUUUAUAUGUGAGGGAUAUCUGGUGGAGGAAUGGUGUCAAUCCCUCCAGUAGAGUUCCACAGACUUGGCAAAGAACUGUUCUAGAGGCUCGAGGUGGCCGGACUCCAUCCUUCAUGUUUGUUUUUCCUUUAGUUUGUCACCCAGCUAUGGAAGACCUGAGAGUCAAGUGAGGAAAAAUUCUGAUCUGAAAUUCUGAGGAAAGAUUCUGAUUCUGUGAUCUAAAUUGUUUUCUCUCCUGUGUUUCUUAGAACAGGUGAAUAAAAAGUUUCCAGGGUU